CUACGGGGCGCAGCAGUGGGGAAUAUUGGACAAUGGACCAAAAGUCUGAUCCAGCAAUUCUGUGUGCACGAUGACGGUCUUCGGAUUGUAAAGUGCUUUCAGUUGGGAAGAAAAAAAUGACGGUACCAACAGAAGAAGCGACGGCUAAAUACGUGCCAGCAGCCGCGGUAAUACGUAUGUCGCAAGCGUUAUCCGGAUUUAUUGGGCGUAAAGCGCGUCUAGGUGGUUUGAUAAGUCUGAUGUGAAAAUGCGGGGCUCAACUCCGUAUUGCGUUGGAAACUGUCAAACUAGAGUAUCGGAGAGGUGGGCGAAACUACAAGUGUAGAGGUGAAAUUCGUAGAUAUUUGUAGGAAUGCCGAUAGAGAAGUCAGCUCACUGGACGAAUACUGACACUGAAGCGCGAAAGCAUGGGGAGCAAACAGGAUUAGAUACCCGCGUAGUC
rnacentral:rRNA from 1 species